rnacentral:rRNA from 1 species
CACGUAGGGCGCAAGCGUUGUCCGGAAUUAUUGGGCGUAAAGAGCUCGUAGGCGGUCUGUUGCGUCCGCUGUGAAAACUCGGGGCUUAACCCCGAGCCUGCAGUGGAUACGGGCAGACUAGAGGUAGGUAGGGGAGAAUGGAAUUCCCGGUGUAGCGGUGAAAUGCGCAGAUAUCGGAAGGAACAUCAGUGGCGAAAGCGACUUCCUGGACCAAUACUGACGCUCAUGUGCGAAAGCGUGGGGAGCAAACAGG